CCUACGGUCGGCAGCAGUGAGGAAUAUUGGUCAAUGGACGCAAGUCUGAACCAGCCAUGCCGCGUGCAGGAUGACGGCCCUAUGAGCUGUAAACUGCUUUUGUACGAGGGUAAACCCCGAUACGUGUCUCUGGUCGUUAGUAUCGUACGAAUAAGGAUCGGCUAACUCCGUGCCAGCAGCCGCGGUAAUAUGGAGGAUCCGAGCGUUAUCCGGAUUUAUUGGGUGUAACGGGUGCGUAGGCGGUUUGAUAAGUUAGAGGUGAAAUGUCGGGGCUCAACCCCGAAAGUGCCUCUAAUACUGGUGGACUUGAGAAUAGUUGCGGUGGGCGGAAUGUAAGGUGUAGCGGUGAAAUGCGUAGAGAUCAUACAGAACACCGAUUGCGAAGGCAGCUUACCAAACUAUAUCUGACGUUGAGGCACGAAAGCGUGGGUAGCAAACAGGAUUAGAUACCCCUGUAGUC
rnacentral:rRNA from 1 species